AUGAACUCCAACUACACUAGAGCAAAAAUGGCCUUUCUCUCACUUCUCAUUGCUCUUCUCUCUCUAGGGUUCACACAAUCCCCUGCUCAAACAGUGGAAAUCAAUGUGGUUCUUGCAGGAAUUGUCACUUGCACAAAUACUUCUAUAGCCAACGCAAGAACUUAUGCAGUAAUCCCACAAGCAAAAGUUGAAUUUGUUUGUGGGAUUUGGAUUUUAGAAAGAGUGAUCAAAUCAACCACAACAAGCAAUGCAGGAAUCUACACCUUUGCCUUCGGCCCCAAAGAUAUAUUGCUCAACAACCC
rnacentral:lncRNA from 1 species